rnacentral:misc_RNA from 1 species
UCUCCGUAGGUGAACCUGCGGAGGGAUCACUACAGGCUUGCAAAAGCUCUGAAACCACUGUUCAUCUACCUGAAUCUGCUUCGGCGGGCGGCCCCAGGGCGGGGCCGUAGCCGCAAGGCGCCCGCCGAAGACCCCUAAACUCUGUCGUCUUGAGAAUCUCUGAGUAUCAUAUUAAACAGAAAACAACUUUCAACAACGGAUCUCUUGGCUCUG